CGAGAAUAGUCUACAAUGGACGAAAGUCUGAUAGUGCGACGCCGCGUGAACGAAGAAUCCCUUCGGGGUGUAAAGUUCUUUUAUAUGUGAGCAAUGCUUUUUAUGUGAAUAGCAUGAGAAGAGAGAUAUUAGCAUAUGAAUAAGCAACGGCUAACUCCGUGCCAGCAGCCGCGGUAACACGGGGGUUGCAAGCGUUGUCCGGAAUUACUAGGCGUAAAGGGCAGGUAGGCGGAUCCAUAAGUUGGAUGUUAAAGGCAGCGGCUCACCCGCUGUACGGCGUCAGAUACUGUGGAUCUGGAAUGCGGUUGGGGAAGACAGAAUUCCUGGUGUAGCGGUGGAAUGCGCAGAGAUCAGGAGGAAUACCAAAGGCGAAGGCAGUCUUCUAAGCCGUUAUUGACGCUAAACUGCGAAGGUGUGGGUAUCAAAC
rnacentral:rRNA from 1 species